CGAACGGGUGAGUAACGCGUGAGUAACCUGCCCUCGGAGUGGGGGGAAACAGUUGGAAACGACUGCUAAUACCGCAUAAGCCCACGGAUCCGCAUGGAUCUGCGGGAAAAGGAUUUAUUCGCUUCAGGAUGGACUCGCGUCCAAUUAGCUAGUUGGUGAGGUAACGGCCCACCAAGGCGACGAUUGGUAGCCGGACUGAGAGGUUGAACGGCCACAUUGGGACUGAGACACGGCCCAG
rnacentral:rRNA from 1 species